AGUCUCCAGGGUGCUUUGAACCAGGACGGCUUCUUUUGAUAGUCACUAUCAUUGUUCUAAAUGUCACAAGCCCCGUGGUUGCAUGUAAAGCAAAGAAAGAUGAAUUUCUGUCCCAAAGCCCAAGGGUCCACACAAGAAUAAUAGCACCUGCCUGUGCUAAUUUGCCAAGAACAAAUGAUUUCGGUGGAGGGUGUAACUUUUGUGGCGCCUUCCGGUGAUUUAAUCAGAGAUUGCCAGGGAAAACCACUGUUUUUAAGAGUUAUGGCUUCCACCCGCACAUCAUAGGAGCGGGGUGUGAGAAAAUCAUUCAGGGAUUUCAGACUAAGCCCUUUUAGUUUCCUUCCCCACUGUCACCGCAGAGGUAGAAGUGUCCUUGACCACCACCAGAAUCACAAGCAUGGAGGUCGUCCACUUGGACGUAUUUUAUGUGGGAGUGACAGGAAAAUGAAUGGCAGCAUAAAUUGGAUUAAAGUUUCUGCCUUGUCAGCAUUACCUUUAGGAAAUGUAAGCAAGCUAUUUGUACAGCACAUUUCCAACUAUGUACACUUGUAGAACUGUUUUAUCUUUGGUGAUAUUACAAUUUUAAACUUUAGUGUAUUUUAUUGUGUUUUUAUGUGA